rnacentral:lncRNA from 10 species
GGACUACAGGGGCCUGCCCCCAUGCCCGGCUAAUUUUUUGUAUUUUUAAUAGAGACAGGGUUUCACCGUGUUAGCCAGGAUGAUCUCGAUCUCCUGACCUCGUGAUCUGCCCGCCUCAGCCUCCCAAAGUGCUGGGAUUAUAGGCGUGAGCCACCAAGCCCGACCAGUUUUUAUAUUUUUAGUAGAGACAGGGUUUCACCAUGUUGGCCACGCUGGUCUCGAACUCCUGACCUGCGGUGAUCCACCCACCUUGGCCUCCCAAAGUGCCGGGAUUACAGGCGUGAGCCAUUGUGCCCGGCCCCCUCAUCAGUCACUCUUUUUUUUUUUUGAGACAAAGUCUCACUCUGCCGCCCAAGCUGGAGUACUGUCUCAAAAACAAACAAACAAACAAACAAAAAACACACACACACAGAAUUGUAGCUAUAUAAAAGUCACUUUGGAAGCCACAGAAGUAGGUGAAUUCACUUGCAGAGCUUCUUAAACUGCAUUUCCCAAGUUAUUCCCCACCUUAAAACCCUUCAAUAGGUUCUCCCCACUGCCCUUAGGGAUAAAGUCAGAUCAAGGCCUGAAACAAUGUGGCCUCUGCUCGCUUGUCCAGCUUCCUUUCCUCCCAGACUCCAUUCCUGCUCUAACUUCACAAGAAUUCCCUCCUUCCCCCAAAAUGACAGAUUCUUCCAGCCUCAAGGCCUUUGGCAUGCUUACCCUCUUGCCAGGAACUCACCCCUUUUCCUAGUUCACUCUUGUGGUUCUUUGAGUUUCUGCUUCGUUGUUCCCCCUCAAGGAGCCUUAGGAGUUUAGCUCGCGGUAGGAACUCCGCGCUCCAAGAACCCCCACACCAGAUCAAAACUGG